rnacentral:tRNA from 1 species
GGCGGGAUAGCUCAGUUGGCAGAGCAAGGGACUCAUAAGCCCUGGGUCGCCGGUUCGACUCCGGCUCCCGCCACCA